GACAAGUAUAUAAAGAAACUAUUAUGGAUGGUUAGCUAUAUAUUUCAAGAUAUUUAUAUCUAGACGAUGAAACAACUAGAAAUCAUAGAGAAAUCUAAUAAAAAGACAAAGUGAAUUGAAAUAUCUUAGUAACUUUAGGAAAAGAAAUCAAACGAGAUUGUUAUUUGGUGUCUUCUAAAUAGCAAAAGCCUUUUUUUUAAAUAUAACGGAAAAAAAUCUGUUAAAACAUAGGGGACCCUUCCUCUAAGGCUAAAAAAAAUAUAUAAGCGAUAGAGUAUCAGUACCGUGAGGGAAAUACACUGAAAUAGUAGGUUUAAAAGCAGCUCAAGUGAAAAUUUAAAUAAAUAAUAAGAGUGUACCUUUUGCAUAAUGGGUCAGCAAGUUAAUUUUAGAUGCAAGUAUUAUACUUAACUGCACAUAAAAUUAGACACCAUAGUAUAUAUGUGUGUUUAUAUAUGAUAAAGAUAAAGAAUAAUACGUAGAUAAACCAAUUAUGAAAAAAUGAAUAAGUAUCUAGAAUUAGACCCGAAGGCUAGUGAUCUUACCAUGGUCAGGGUUAUAAAAGCCCGAACGGGUUAUCGUUGUAAAGAUAUCCGAUGAACUGUGGUAAGUUAGUGAAAGACAAAACUGACUAGUAUAGCUGGUUUUCCGCGAAACCUAUGUAAGUAGGUAAUUUAAUUAACAUCUUAGCAGGUACAGAACUGUGAUCUCGGACAAUAUUAUAAAUAUUUGUCAACAUCGGGGGGUUGUAGUGACUUUACCGGAGAGUAUUUGCACUCGGAAGGGCAAAGAUGAAUGUUAAAUAAUCGGACAUAGUGCGAUAAGGUUGUAUGUCUAAAGGGAAACAGCCCAGAACAAGAGUUAAGGUUCCAAAAUUAUUGUUAAGUGAAAUUAAGGAUGUUUUUUUUUAAAACAAUCAGGAAAUAGGCUUAGAAGCGGCCAUUUUUUGAAGACCUCGUAACAGAGCACUGAUUAAUAAUUUAGGAAAAAACGCCGAAAAUUUAACGGAUCUAAAUAAUAUACCGAAACCUUGUACACAAAAAACAAUAAAAAUAUAGUUUUAUUUGUGGGGUAGCGGAACAUUGGAUUAAACUGUAUAUUAAUAUUUUUCUUAAAAUAUUAAAAAAAGUAUUAUAAUGGCCAUAAUUAUUUUUAAUUAAUUAAAUUAUAAUUAUGCUAGUAUAUUUUUACGGUUAUAAUAAUUUAUUUACUAUAUAUAAAUUAUAUAAGUUUUAUUAUUUUCUGUUAAAUCCAAGAGAGAAUGCUGACAUGAGUAACGAAAAAGGCUGUUGAGCCUCGCCUGAAGCUUAUGGUUUUUAAAAAAACCGGUGUCUAAAAAGAUUAAUCAAAAGAUAAUUUUGAUGACGUAGGAUUUUAUCUUAUUAAUAAUAACCAAAACCUUUAACAAGUAAUAAAGGUUCUGGAAAAGUUUAUUAUUUUAUCUGAUAAAUUUUUAUAUUUACUUAAAUUUAUUAGUACUAACUAAUAAUUAAGGAUACUAAAUAUAAUAUCUAACCGUACCUAGAAACUAACUCAAGUAAGCAAGUAGAGAAUACAAAGGCGUUUGAGAGAACAAUCAUUAAGGAACUCGGCAAAUUGACUCUGUACCUUCGGAAUAAGGAGGGCCAUUAUUAUUAAUUAUGAUAUUAUUUCACAUUGUGAAAUAAUAUAUAAUAUAAUGAUAAGAGGAAUCAUGAAAUAAUGUUGUACGACUGUUUAAUAAAAACACAGCACUCUGCAAAGAUAAAAAAUCAAAGUAUUGAGUGUGAUGUCUGCCCAAUGUCGGCUGGGUAACGGAUUUACCUUGAUUAUUAACUGAGGUUUUGAAGGACACCCCGAUUAAUGGCGGCCUUACCUAUGAGGGUCCUAAGGUAGCGAAAUACCUUGGCCGUUAAAUGCGGUCCUGCAUGAAUGACUUAACGAUGCAACAGCUGUCUCGAUGAUUGUCUCAGUGAAAUUGGAAUAGCAGUGCAGAUACUGUUUACCUCUAGAUAGACGAGAAGACCCUAUGCAGCUUUACUGUUACUAAUUACAGGAGUGAAAAUUUAGGAUGAUUUAUAGUGUAUAAGGUAGUUGAUGAUACGAGAUAACAAUGAAACACCUUUAUUCGAAUCCUUAUAUAUACUCUUGAUGAUUGGGAGGCAGUUUAUGCGGGGCACAGAUCCCACAAAAAGUACCUGGGUAUAUCCAAAGUUCAUAUUGUAAACUUGUAUAUUUAUAUACAAAUAUUUUAAUUUGUUCUAAUUAUUAUUAUAAUUAUACAGUUAUUAUUCGAUUAAAUUCCACAAUAAUUUUUUAUUUUAAGUAAGAUUUUAACUAUGCGGUGAAUAGAUGUAUUUUAAACUUUACCCUUGGCGCAAGCCAAGGGCUAUAUUAAAAGUUUAUUUGUUAUAUUAAUAAAGUAUUUAUCUUUAUUAAUAUAAUGUUUAUAUAUACUUUAAAAGUUUAAUGGCUAAAUCUUGCUUUACUGUUUGACCUACAAGUCUAUCAGUCGCGUAAGCGGGGCAUAUGAUCACAAGAUGCAUUAAGGAAAGGUCUUGGAUUAUAGAAAAAGUUACGCUAGGGAUUUAUAACUGUGAGUCCUCCAAUAUUAUAAAAUAUUGGUAAU
rnacentral:rRNA from 1 species